rnacentral:rRNA from 1 species
AUUGAACGCUGGCGGCAGGCCUAACACAUGCAAGUCGGGCGAGGGGCGGACGGGUGAGUAAUGUGUGAGGAUCUGCCUGAUGGAGGGGGAUAACUACUGAAAACGAUCGCUAAUACCACAUACCCUCAUGUGAACCCAUAUGGGAUUAGCUUAUAGGUAAGGUAACGGCUUACCUAGGCUACGAUCCCUAGCUGGUCUGAGAGGAUGAUCAGCCACACUGGGACUGAGACACGGCCCAGACUCCUACGGGAGGCAGCAGUGGGGAAUAUUGCACAAUGGGCGCAAGCCUGAUGCAGCCAUGCCGCGUGUAUGAAGAAGGCCUUCGGGUUGUAAAGUACUUUCAGUGGGGAGGCGUUACCGACAGAAGAAGCACCGGCUAACUCCGUGCCAGCAGCCGCGGUAAUAC